CCCAGACUCCUACGGGAGGCAGCAGUGAGGAAUAUUGGUCAAUGGCCGAGAGGCUGAACCAGCCAAGUCGCGUGAGGGAAGACGGCCCUACGGGUUGUAAACCUCUUUUGUCGGGGAGCAAAGCGAACCACGUGUGGUUCAUUGAGAGUACCCGAAGAAAAAGCAUCGGCUAACUCCGUGCCAGCAGCCGCGGUAAUACGGAGGAUGCGAGCGUUAUCCGGAUUUAUUGGGUUUAAAGGGUGCGCAGGCGGAAGAUCAAGUCAGCGGUAAAAUUGAGAGGCUCACCCUCUUCGAGCCGUUGAAACUGGCAGACUUGAGUUGGCGAGAAGUACGCGGAAUGCGCGGUGUAGCGGUGAAAUGCAUAGAUAUCGCGCAGAACUCCGAUUGCGAAGGCAGCGUACCGGCGCCAGACUGACGCUGAGGCACGAAAGCGUGGGGAUCGAACAGGAUUAGAUACCCUCGUAAA
rnacentral:rRNA from 1 species